GAAAUGCGAUAAGUAGUGUGAAUUGCAGAAUUCAGUGAAUCAUCGAAUCUUUGAACGCACAUUGCGCCCCUUGGUAUUCCAUGGGGCAUGCCUGUUCGAGCGUCAUCUACACCCUCAAGCUCUGCUUGGUGUUGGGUGUCUGUCCCGCCCCCGCGCGUGGACUCGCCCCAAAUCCAUUGGCAGCGUUCCUUGCCCCCUCUCGCGCAGCACAUUGCGCUUCUCGAGGGCGGCUCCGGGACGCGAUCCAGCAAGAUGACCACCGUCUUUGACCUCGGAUCAGGUAGGGAUACCCGCUGAACUUAAGC
rnacentral:misc_RNA from 1 species